rnacentral:lncRNA from 1 species
UUGUUGUUAGAGCUCCUUAGAUUUAAUGAUGAACUCCGUAAAAAUCCUGUGCUGAGUCUAGUGAAGUCUACAUCAAAAUCUACGGCUCAGCAAAAAUCCUGUGCUGAGUCCAGUGAAGUCUACAUCAAAAUCUACGGCUCAGCAAAAAACCUCAGUAUUCCAAAGGGGAAUACCGGGCCUGUCAAGUGGAGUGCACGCCCAAUGAGGACCAAGGAAGCGGUCGUCGCGGCAAUUCCGCAGCUCCCUGUCGACUUGCUUCUUUCCCUGCUGCUCGGUUUUAUCAGGAAGCUUCUAUCUUGUGGCAAUGUUUUGGGGUUUAUUCCCUAA